rnacentral:lncRNA from 1 species
CUUUACUGUGGUUUCCGUGGGAAGGAACAGGCGAGGCAGGGUAAGCAGGCCUGCGAUGGGCUGGUCUGAACGAUCCCAGCGGCUCUGGGGUGUGGGGGCUGGCACUGGUCGCCUGGCGGCUGGCCCUGGGUGAUCAGUGCAGGGGAGAGUGGCUGUGGAUUGGUUGGUUUGCAUAUGAAGUCAUCCUCUGGUGAGUUGGUGCUUAUCUCUAGAACUAGCUAACUCAGGGAGCGAUGGUCCCUCCCUGACCAGCAAGGCCGCAGAUGUCAGAGUGUCGGGAAUACAGAAGGUGUAGUUAGCACACACCCUAACUGCCGGGUGAUGAGGGCAAGGCUCUUCUCUGACCCUCGGUUUCCUUCUCUCUGAGUGGUGUGGCUGGGAGGGGCUCGAGCGAGUGGGUGAACCAGGAGGGCUUCUUGGGGGUGAUGAAGUUCGGCUUUGGGACCCCAUCGUGGGGGAAGGCGGUCAAGGCGGGUUUUGGAGUCUGGGCCUCGAACAGUGUGUUGGGGGCUGAGUUCUCUUUCAGGCAACCAUCGGGGUUGUGGGAGUUGAAGUUUGGGAGAUGGGCUGCAGCCAGGAUGGGGGCCUUCGACCCACCACGGAGCAGAGGGUGCCCGCCUCCUGGGGUGCAAGCCUCCCCUCCGCUCAUGGGGUGGGGACCUGGGCCUCUCAGUUCCCAGCUCAGCCCGCUGCGGGUACCCCGAGCUGGGCCGAGGUGUCCUGCCACAGAAGUGGCACCGUUGUGGGCUUCGUCCAGUUAGCAGGAAGAAGUUUUGCCCGAGAUACGGUUUGCUUUUUCGGUGUUUUGGUGGUUCUCCUUUUUGCUCAGCCGUGGUCAGCCACAGUAGGCGAGGGGUUGCAUCACGGGGCCACGGGGCCGGCCACAGGUGUCACGCACCACCUAUGCAGACAUCUAGGAUCUGGAUCUUUUUGGGGUGUUGCUUGGGUUCUCAGUUAUUAGCAAACCUUCCUGCUCCCAGGGGCUCCGAAUGACCACCGAUGUCUUCUCUCUCGUGGUUCCACGUUGACCGAGCUGGCUAGUGGGCCCUGUUCCACCUGAUGGUGGCUGUUGGCCUCUGGGGGCUGGGCUGGCUGGAUGUCACCAUCUGGAAUGUCUCUGUCAUGUCUGGAGCCUUGGGGAAAUGGCUGGGCCUCUCCCUCUCCACGUGGCCUCUCCACGUGGCCAUCAGAGCAGGAUGGCCAUGUUCCUUUCAUGGCGACUCAGGCUCCCCAAAGUGCAGAGCCGAAACUGCCGGACCGGACCUUCUAAAGCUCAGGCCCGGAACUGAGCCUGCAUCCUGUCCACCACAUCCCAUUGGUUUGCUGGAGCCCCAGGUCAGCCCAGAUAUGUGUCCGGGGUGGAGGUGGGGACCCCACUAGGGUGUGAACACUGGGAGGGCCCAGUUCAUGGGGCCGUCCUUUCAGACUAGCUGCCACAAAGGGAGCAGAGGGCAGGAGCCCGGAUUGGGGCAGGCCGAGGGGGGAGACCACAUCCACUCAAGCCGGGUGACUGACCGUGGGCAGGUGGCUUUGCCGUCCCAGGUGCCCUUUGUCAUUUGCGCCCCGGGGCAGUCAUAGGUACAGACGCGCUCUGAGCACGCCAGGUUUCAGCUCUCUGUUCCUGCCGGCAGGGAUCACUCUGUCCUGCCAGCUACCCAUCCCGUCGCGUCCCGUCCAGCAGGCCCAGGGAGUCACUUCCAGGAAAUUCCAGCGAAGGUCCAGGUUUAAAAGCGAGGGGUGUUUGGGGAGCCCACGAGGAGGGAGACGCCGAGGGGGUGGCCAAAGGGCCCAGCAUCGGUGAAAUUCUGAGGAAAUCUGGAUGCACAAAGUGACACUAGGCUGCGGACACAGAGGGAAGACGGGGUGAGGACGCAGCGAGAAGCUGGCAGCCUGCGAGCCCAGGAGAGAGGCCUCUGGAGAGUGGUGCCGAGCCCUCGGCCCUGGACUUGGAGGCUGCAGAGCUGCGAGAAAACAAUGCCUGCUGUUGGAGCCCCCAGUCGGUGGUAUUUUGUUCCAGCCGCCCAAGCAGACUAAAACGGGUCUUAUAUCUCAAAAGUGGGUUUGAAAAGACAUUUGGUGAAUGGUACUGUGUCUUAGACACUGUUCUGGGUGCUCAGCUUGCAGCAAUAAACAAAAUAGACCAAAAAAAGUGGGGAGGGUGUUUCUGGCUCUUG